AUUGAACGCUGGCGGCAGGCCUAACACAUGCAAGUCGAGCGGAUGAAGGGAGCUUGCUCCUGGAUUCAGCGGCGGACGGGUGAGUAAUGCCUAGGAAUCUGCCUGGUAGUGGGGGAUAACGUCCGGAAACGGGCGCUAAUACCGCAUACGUCCUGAGGGAGAAAGUGGGGGAUCUUCGGACCUCACGCUAUCAGAUGAGCCUAGGUCGGAUUAGCUAGUUGGUGGGGUAAAGGCCUACCAAGGCGACGAUCCGUAACUGGUCUGAGAGGAUGAUCAGUCACACUGGAACUGAGACACGGUCCUGACUCCUACGGGAGGCAGCAGUGGGGAAUAUUGGACAAUGGGCGAAAGCCUGAUCCAGCCAUGCCGCGUGUGUGAAGAAGGUCUUCGGAUUGUAAAGCACUUUAAGUUGGGAGGAAGGGCAGUAAGUUAAUACCUUGCUGUUUUGACGUUACCAUCAGAAUAAGCACCGGCUAACUUCGUG
rnacentral:rRNA from 1 species